rnacentral:tRNA from 1 species
GGGAGGCACGGGACUGGUGUCCCCCGCGGGCUGCAAACCCGUUGGCCGGCCCUGAGAAAGCCGGGGUGGGUUCGAUCCCCACUGCCUCCCUCCA